rnacentral:lncRNA from 10 species
UGAGUGGCUUUAAAUGCUUUAUUUAAAAUACAUAACAAUCGUGCAGCUGCUGAGGAUGUUAUGAGGGGAAGAGAGAAAGGGGCUAUUUGCUCUUUUAUGGAUACGUGCUUGGCAUGGUUUGAAGGAUGAAAGAUAAGGUGGUUUAAGGACAGACAUAAUCCCUUUGUGAUGCUAUUUAGCAGUUAGCAAAGACUGCUAUCCCUCUAACACAGAAUGCUCUCACACCUCUGGGUACCACUUGUGCCUCGAUCGCCUACUCAACAGGAAUAAAGUUUGGCGAUGAACAGUAGAGACCCAACAUAACAGGAACUUUAACAAGAUGGAAGUUUCUCUUUUACAAAAAAAAAAAAAAAAAAAGCAGAGGCUCAGGGACCAGACUCCUUCUGUCUUGUUGUUCCGCUAUAUGAAGACUCCAUUCUCAGGAUCA